UCUUGCUGACACACUGUCCGCUUACAUCAGCUGCAAGACGCCCACUGGGGCAGGGUCCCAGUGGGAGAGAGAGGAUGCCGGCUCCGGGCUGUGUUGUGACCGUGAUUCUCAAGCACUGGACUCGGAGGUCCGACAACCACUCAGCCUACAUCACCGACGGAUCUGCUCUCGGAGGUGCAGGUGGAACAAUUUACAUGAGUACGACACCUGCACCUGAUGCCAGCUGCCGGCCACGGUGCUGAGCAAUGAUGCGUGACCAUGUCCCAUCAGCAACUCCACGUGCAUAAUUCAAGAAAAGCUUUGAAUCUGCAAAUCAAAUGAAUGCCUGUUUUCCCCUUACUACUGCCAGUAUAGACUAGUAUAUCCCUCCCCAUUUUUCUCUCUGUUGCUUCCUCAACAAACCUCCGCCAGCUGCAUUUUUGAGACUUAGUUUAGAUGAGAACGUAUGGUCUGGUUUUCAGCUGGCGUAAAUCCGGUUUUGCUGGCUUCACUGGAGCAAUGCUGAUUUACAUGGGCUGAUGACCUGUCUGUAUAUAUAUUAAGGUAUAUUUAUCCAGCAAAUCUGUCCACGAUGCUUCCAUUCCUUAUUCAUUCAAACUCAGCUGGCCCUUUGAGGCUGGAAUUGCGCUCAGCUCCCUUCUGUGUUGUGUCUCUCGUAAACGAGCCAGUUGGAAAGCACACCGUCCACCCUGCAGGAAGAUUACACUCCAAGGUUAUAUAUUACAGCACGAUGGGUGAGCUCCUGAAGGCUUCAGAGAGCAGGAUCAGUCCAGCCAACAAAACAAAAUAUCUCAGAAGCCUGGUUGUUAAAGCACAGCAAGAAUAUCAGCACUACUAGAGAAAUGCUGGACAGAGACACACAAAUAAAGAUUUUGCAUCUGUUUGAGCUCUACAUAUAGGGCAGGGAUGAGAUAGCUGUAUGCAGGGGUUUCUAAUUAAAGUUUUUCUUCUCCAGA